UAACUUACCUGGCACACGGGGAUACUAUGAUCAAGAAGGCAGUUCCCUCAGGUAGAGACUUGUGCAUUGCACUCAGCCAAGUUGCAUCCUGCAAUUUCCCCAAACGUGGGAAAUUCGGGUGCACAAUUUUUGUUAGUGUGGGGGACUGCGUUUGCGCAUCCCCUUU